CGGGAUGAGCUCAAAUUUAAAAUCUAGCAGCCUCAGGUUGUUCGAGUUGUAGUCUAGAGAAGCGUUUUCCGCGUUGGCCUGUGUACAAGUCCCUUGGAAUAGGGCGUCAUAGAGGGUGAGAAUCCCGUCCUUGACACAGAUCCCAAUGCUUUGUGAUACGCUCUCAAA
rnacentral:rRNA from 1 species